UGUCUCCGAUCUCAUACAUUCGGAAACUUUUCUCCCAAGCCAGAGGUAGGAAACGUUACAGAAGAGGAUGGGAUGUCAAAAUGUUCCUCUAUUUUAUACACAGAUGGUGGCUACAACUUUAGUCCUUCUGACCACAUCCGUUAUAGUUCCGCUGGCACUAAUCUAUGAGGUCCCGAUACCAUUGGUCGUAUUUCUUCUCCUGAUGAACAUGGGAGUCCUCGUUUUUACAUGGAGACGUCGACGUUUACAAAACGAAGCUGCUCUGCAAAACACGAAUGCCAGUUUCCAUCACUCUCGUGAUGGAGUGAUUGUCACGCAUGCACAUUUACAGGACGACGGGAGAUCAAGCAACCCGUCAGGACUAACACAUGUUCUGGAAGAGGAUACCUUGGGGAUCAGUCCAAGCAU